CUACGGGCGGCUGCAGUGGGGAAUAUUGGACAAUGGGCGCAAGCCUGAUCCAGCCAUGCCGCGUGAGUGAUGACGGCCUUAGGGUUGUAAAGCUCUUUCAACGGUGAAGAUAAUGACGGUAACCGUAGAAGAAGCCCCGGCUAACUUCGUGCCAGCAGCCGCGGUAAUACGAAGGGGGCUAGCGUUGUUCGGAAUAACUGGGCGUAAAGCGCACGUAGGCGGAUUGUUAAGUGAGGGGUGAAAUCCCAGGGCUCAACCCUGGAACUGCCCUUCAUACUGGCAAUCUUGAGUUCGAGAGAGGUGAGUGGAAUUCCGAGUGUAGAGGUGAAAUUCGUAGAUAUUCGGAGGAACACCAGUGGCGAAGGCGGCUCACUGGCUCGAUACUGACGCUGAGGUGCGAAAGCGUGGGGAGCAAACAGGAUUAGAUACCCCAGUAGUC
rnacentral:rRNA from 1 species